CCUACGGGAGGCAGCAGUGAGGAAUAUUGGUCAAUGGACGCAAGUCUGAACCAGCCACGCCGCGUGCAGGAAGACGGCUCUAUGAGUUGUAAACUGCUUUUGUACGAGGGUAAACGCAGAUACGCGUAUCUGUCUGAAAGUAUCGUACGAAUAAGGAUCGGCUAACUCCGUGCCAGCAGCCGCGGUAAUACGGAGGAUUCAAGCGUUAUCCGGAUUUAUUGGGUUUAAAGGGUGCGUAGGCGGUCGGAUAAGUUAGAGGUGAAAUCCCGAGGCUCAACUUUGGAAUUGCAUGUGAUACUGUUAGGCUAGAGAGUAGUAGAGGUAGGCGGAAUGUAUGGUGUAGCGGUGAAAUGCUUAGAGAUCAUGCAGAACACCGAUGGCGAAGGCAGCUUACCGGACUACAACUGACGUUGAGGCACGAAAGCGUGGGGAGCAAACAGGAUUAGAUACCCCAGUAGUC
rnacentral:rRNA from 1 species